rnacentral:rRNA from 1 species
AUUGAACGCUGGCGGAAUGCUUUACACAUGCAAGUCGAACGGCAGCACGGGUGCUUGCACCUGGUGGCGAGUGGCGAACGGGUGAGUAAUGCACCGGAACGUAUCCAAUAAUGGGGGAUAACGCACCGAAAGGUGUGCUAAUACCGCAUACGCCCUGAGGGGGAAAGCGGGGGAUCGUAAGACCUCGCGUUAAUGGAGCGGCCGAUGCCGGAUUAGCUAGUUGGUGAGGUAAAGGCUCACCAAGGCGACGAUCCGUAGCUGGUCUGAGAGGACGACCAGCCACACUGGAACUGAGACACGGUCCAGACUCCUACGGGAGGCAGCAGUGGGGAAUUUUGGACAAUGGGCGCAAGCCUGAUCCAGCCAUUCCGCGUGAGUGAGGAAGGCCUGGUU